ensembl:lncRNA
GUGCAUUUACAACUUUUACAAUUAUUAUUCAUUCAUAUCAGGACAAGUGGGAACCCUAGUGUUGAAACCCUCCAGUUGUCGAACACGACAUGAGACUAACUUACUCCAGUCAGCUCAGUCAUGUUGUAACUAGGAUAUCCGCUGGAAAAAUAUUUUUUCAUGGACCGUUUGAAUCACUAAGUUAUUAAAGUCAAACAGCUAACGGUUAGCCCUGCUAAUCUAUGAUAACCUUGACUAAUUACAGAAAUGUGCACAAAUAAAUAGUAAUGUUUGUCCCAUCAUUGGUUUUAUAAAUUUUACAAACACCAAAGUUGUCUAAACGGUAAGAGUGACAUACAAAAUUAUAGCGAAACUCUCGUCAUUACUAACUAUUAGCAAAUGCUGUGAGAGAACUUUCCACAAUUCCGGGCACUUGCUAACAAAAUGUGAUCUGUGUCAUGCGAUAAAGGUUUAUUUGAAAGUAAAUAUUAUACUUAUAUUAAAAUAACAUGGGUGUAAGUGCUGCAAACAUGCAUGCUGCUCACCUUCUCCAUUCAGCCCGGAAUAGAAGAGGGACACGACGGCGCCUUCAGUUCAAAACAAAACAGUUCGGCUAUGUCAUCUGACUUCCCAGGGCAUAUUUCAAUACAAUAUUUUACUGUAAUAAUACUGUUUAAUGCUGUGAAAUCCUUAAUUUUUUUCACUGUGUUGCUGUGAUAUUACAGACCUUGUUGUGAUAUAACAGCAGGUUUUAGAUUGCAAGAUUUUACUGUAAAAUAAGAGUUAAAUGCUGUAAAAUCCAAGGAUACUGUAGUUUUUACAGGUAUUCAUUGGGAUAUUACAGGGAAACUUAAUUACAACAAGUUACUAUAAAAGAAUACUGUUAAUUAUUGUGAAAUGCUGGUAAUUUCUAACAGUGUAUCUUUCACUUAAAACUACUUAUCAGCUGUAACUUGUUUACCUAACUAUUGUUUAGAGACAUACACAAAAGAAAUGCGUAUCUAUGUACAGUAUGUACUGUGAAAUGUGUGGCUUUAAGUGUAAUAGUUAGAAAAGUUUGAAGUGUAAUAGUUCUAUAGGUAACAGAAAAACACAA